rnacentral:lncRNA from 1 species
AGGAUUUUUGGAAUUGUUUUGGUAUGCUUUUGGUUGAAGUCAUUCUGUUUGGACUUUUGGUGUUGUAUUUGACCUAGUUUGUACCAAAUUGUGCAUGAAAUGAUAUUGGUGAAUGAUAUGAGCAUGGGACCAAUUGCAUUUGCUUUUGAAUUGCUUGAAUUUGAUUUUGGUUGAAGAUUCCUUGCUGUUUAGAUUUUUUUCUCACCUUUGGACCCUAGGCUUGGCCUAGUG